CAUGAUGGCAUCAGUGAACCAAUUCUGGUGUGCUCAGUCCGCGGUCAGUAAGUAAAACACUCGGCUGGCUUCCUCUUCUUCAUGCCGGUCUCCGGGAACCCUCUUACAUCCUGUUUGCCGGGACAAAUCAACCAGCCGGUACCGGAGAGAUGCCAGAGUCCAAUUUUGGCCGGUACCACACCUCAUGGUCCCCAACAACCAGCAAGAAAUGUUACAUGAGCAGGACUAACGUGAGAUAUUACAGAGCGACCAGGAGAGGGAGACGUUCUCAUGUCCCUUGCUGCUGCAUUGCAUUCUGGUCUAUUCUGCAGGUGUGUCUGUUCAUC